rnacentral:misc_RNA from 1 species
GAUGAAGAACGCAGCGAAAUGCGAUACUUGGUGUGAAUUGCAGAAUCCCGCGAAUCAUCGAGUUUUUGAACGCAAGUUGCGCCCGAAGCCAUUCGGCCGAGGGCACGUCUGCCUGGGUGUCACGCAUCGUUGCCCCCCCAAACUCCGGUUCGGGCGGGGCGGAAGUUGGCCUCCCGUGCGUGCCUGCGCGCGCGGUUAGCCCAAAAGCGAGUCCUCGGCGAUGAGCGCCACGACAAUCGGUGGGUUUUUUACCCUCGUUCCUCGUCGUGCGUGCCCCGUCGCCCGAACGCGCUCUUGCAACCCUUACGCGUCGCCUCGGUGGCGCUCCCAACGCGACCCCAGGUCAGGCGGGACUACCCGCUGAGUUUAAGCAUAUCAAUAAGCGGAGGA